rnacentral:rRNA from 1 species
CCUACGGGAGGCAGCAGUGAGGAAUUUUGGUCAAUGGACGAGAGUCUGAACCAGCAAAGUAGCGUGAUGGAUGACUGCCCUAUGGGUUGUAGACUUCUUUUAUAUGGGAAUAAAAUGUUCCACGUGUGGGAUUUUGUAUGUACCAUAUGAAUAAGGAUCGGCUAACUCCGUGCCAGCAGCCACGGUAAUACGGAGGAUCCGAGCGUUAUCCGGAUGUAUUGGGUUUAAAGGGCGCGUAGGUGGAUUGUUACGUCAGUUGUGAAAGGUUGCGGCUCAACCUUAAAAUUGCAGUUGAAACUGGCAGUCUUGAGUACAGUAGAGGUGGGCGGAAUGCGUGGUGUAGCGGUGAAAUGCUUAGAUAUCACGAAGAACUCCGAGUGCGAAGGCAGCUCACUGGACUGCAACUGACACUGAGGCUCGAAAGUGUGGGUAUCAAACAGGAUUAGAUACCGAGUAGUC